CCUUCCGUAGGGUGAAC
rnacentral:rRNA from 1 species